rnacentral:rRNA from 1 species
UGGGGAAUAUUGGACAAUGGGCGCAAGCCUGAUGCAGCCAUGCCGCGUGUGUGAAGAAGGCCCUAGGGUUGUAAAGCACUUUCAGUAAGGAAGAAAAAGCCGGGUUAAUACCCCGGUCCUAUGACAUUACUUACAGAAGAAGCACCGCCUAACUCCGUGCCAGCAGCCGCGGUAAUACGGAGGGUGCGAACGUUAAUCGGAAUUACUGGGCGUAAAGCGCGCGUAGGUGGUUCACUAAGUGGGAUGUGAAAGCCCCGGGCUUAACCUGGGAACUGCAUUCCAAACUGGAGAACUAGAGUACGAUAGAGGGGGGUAGAAUUCAGAGUGUAGCGGUGAAAUGCGUAGAUAUUCUGAGGAAUACCGGUGGCGAAGGCGGCCCCCUGGAUUGAUACUGACACUGAGGUGCGAAAGCGUGGGGAGCAAACAGGAUUAGAUACCCCGGUAGUCC